rnacentral:lncRNA from 1 species
GUGAUAUACAAUAAGUAUGCAAUGUUGAAGUGUUAAAUUUUGUACAGUAUCUUUGGACUAUGAGCUAUGUACUGAAGUUUGUUAAGUGUGGUAAAACAAUACAACUAAAACGUGUAUCACCUUCACAUUCUUUUAACUAACUAUUAAGGAAUUUCGCUACUCAGUUUCAAAUGAAUAGCUUUCCACAACAUUAGUAUACAUUGCUAUAUGAUAAAUUAAGGAAUCAAAAAAGCAACAAAAUUAAGAGGUCAAUGUGCUUGUUUUUGGGAUAUUAGCCAUAUCAUUGACAAGUUAAAGUUC